rnacentral:rRNA from 1 species
UACGUAGGGGGCGAGCGUUGUCCGGAUUUAUUGGGCGUAAAGAGCGUGUAGGCGGUUCGGUAAGUCUGUCGUGAAAUCCUGAGGCUCAACCUCGGGCGUGCGAUGGAUACUGCCGGGCUAGAGGAUGGUAGAGGCGAGUGGAAUUCCCGGUGUAGCGGUGAAAUGCGCAGAUAUCAGGAGGAACACCAGCGGCGAAGGCGGCGCUCUGGGCUGGAACUGACGCUGAGGAGCGAAAGCGUGGGGAGCGAACAGG